GAUGAAGAACGCAGCAAAAUGCGAUAAGUAGUGUGAAUUGCAGAAUUCAGUGAAUCAUCGAAUCUUUGAACGCACAUUGCGCCCCUUGGUAUUCCAUGGGGCAUGCCUGUUCGAGCGUCAUUUGUACCUUCAAGCUUUGCUUGGUGUUGGGUGUUUGUCUCGCCUUUGCGUGUAGACUCGCCUUAAAAUAAUUGGCAGCCGGCGUAUUGAUUUCGGAGCGCAGUACAUCUCGCGCUUUGCACUCAUAACGACAGCGUCCAAAAGUACAUUUUACACUCUUGACCUCGGAUCAGGUAGGGAUACCCGCUGAACUUAAGCAUAUCAAUAAGCGGAGGA
rnacentral:misc_RNA from 1 species